GCCGGGGUGGCGGAAAUGGUAGACGCAGAGGACUUAAAAUCCUCCGGGCCUUAAAGCCCAUACCGGUUCAAGUCCGGUCCUCGGCA
rnacentral:tRNA from 1 species